rnacentral:rRNA from 1 species
UACAGAGACUGCAAGCGUUAUUCGGAUUCACUGGGCGUAAAGGGUGCGCAGGCGGCCGUGUGUGUGAGGCGUGAAAGCCCGAUGCUUAACAUCGGAAUUGCACCUCAAACUACACGGCUAGAGCAUUGGAGAGGGUAGCGGAAUUCACGGUGUAGCAGUGAAAUGCGUAGAUAUCGAUAGGAACUCCGGUGGCGAAGGCGGCACACUGGACCACCACUGACGCUGAUGCGCGAAAGCCAGGGGAGCAAACGGG